UACAGAGGUGGCAAGCGUUGUUCGGAAUUACUGGGCGUAAAGGGCGCGUAGGCGGUUUAUCAAGUGAGAUGUGAAAUCCCUCGGCUUAACCGGGGAACUGCGUCUGAUACUGGAUGGCUAGAGGUUGGGAGAGGGAUGCGGAAUUCCAGGUGUAGCGGUGAAAUGCGUAGAUAUCUGGAGGAACACCGGUGGCGAAGGCGGCAUCCUGGACCAAUUCUGACGCUGAUGAGCGAAAGCCAGGGGAGCAAACGGG
rnacentral:rRNA from 1 species